GAUGAACGCUGGCGGCGUGCCUAAUACAUGCAAGUCGAGCGAACGGACGAGAAGCUUGCUUCUCUGAUGUUAGCGGCGGACGGGUGAGUAACACGUGGAUAACCUACCUAUAAGACUGGGAUAACUUCGGGAAACCGGAGCUAAUACCGGAUGAUAUUUUGAACCGCAUGGUUCAAAAGUGAAAGACGGUCUUGCUGUCACUUAUAGAUGGAUCCGCGCUGCAUUAGCUAGUUGGUAAGGUAACGGCUUACCAAGGCAACGAUGCAUAGCCGACCUGAGAGGGUGAUCGGCCACACUGGAACUGAGACACGGUCCAGACUCCUACGGGAGGCAGCAGUAGGGAAUCUUCCGCAAUGGGCGAAAGCCUGACGGAGCAACGCCGCGUGAGUGAUGAAGGUCUUCGGAUCGUAAAACUCUGUUAUUAGGGAAGAACAUAUGUGUAAGUAACUGUGCACAUCUUGACGGUACCUAAUCAGAAAGCCACGGCUAACUACGUGCCAGCAGCCGCGGUAAUACGUAGGUGGCAAGCGUUAUCCGGAAUUAUUGGGCGUAAAGCGCGCGUAGGCGGUUUUUUAAGUCUGAUGUGAAAGCCCACGGCUCAACCGUGGAGGGUCAUUGGAAACUGGAAAACUUGAGUGCAGAAGAGGAAAGUGGAAUUCCAUGUGUAGCGGUGAAAUGCGCAGAGAUAUGGAGGAACACCAGUGGCGAAGGCGACUUUCUGGUCUGUAACUGACGCUGAUGUGCGAAAGCGUGGGGAUCAAACAGGAUUAGAUACCCUGGUAGUCCACGCCGUAAACGAUGAGUGCUAAGUGUUAGGGGGUUUCCGCCCCUUAGUGCUGCAGCUAACGCAUUAAGCACUCCGCCUGGGGAGUACGACCGCAAGGUUGAAACUCAAAGGAAUUGACGGGGACCCGCACAAGCGGUGGAGCAUGUGGUUUAAUUCGAAGCAACGCGAAGAACCUUACCAAAUCUUGACAUCCUUUGACAACUCUAGAGAUAGAGCCUUCCCCUUCGGGGGACAAAGUGACAGGUGGUGCAUGGUUGUCGUCAGCUUGUGUCGUGAGAUGUUGGGUUAAGUCCCGCAACGAGCGCAACCCUUAAGCUUAGUUGCCAUCAUUAAGUUGGGCACUCUAAGUUGACUGCCGGUGACAAACCGGAGGAAGGUGGGGAUGACGUCAAAUCAUCAUGCCCCUUAUGAUUUGGGCUACACACGUGCUACAAUGGACAAUACAAAGGGCAGCGAAACCGCGAGGUCAAGCAAAUCCCAUAAAGUUGUUCUCAGUUCGGAUUGUAGUCUGCAACUCGACUACAUGAAGCUGGAAUCGCUAGUAAUCGUAGAUCAGCAUGCUACGGUGAAUACGUUCCCGGGUCU
rnacentral:rRNA from 1 species